UCCUGGCCAACCACCACAGCGCCAUGACUGGAUGGUCGACUGGCCGCUCACGCCAUGAACACACCUGCAGGAAGAGCAGGGGGUUCAAUUUGAUUGACGGACGUAGCUCCAGUAUACUCCUGAACACUCCUGGACAGACCAGUGUUCUGUGGCUGCAGUGUAGAGUCUGCUGAUGGUGUCUCUGCUUAUCGGCGGCUUCAUGCGUGUGUAGGGUCGGACAGCCGAGGUCACAUCUUUGGCUGACAGUGUUCUUUAAUACAAGUGUUUCCACAUCUGUCACACAGAAACUGAGCUUAUGGAUCAAGUGGACGUCAGGGAGGAGACUUGAGAGCCAAAAGAAGUCAGAGGAACAUCCUGGACAGCGCUGCAAGGACUGCUGGGAGUUCAGUACCUGCAUAUCUUCAUGUGGAGUACUGUGAGAUUGCAUCCUUUAAUAUGUAGAUUAUACACUACCGUUCAGAAGUUUGGGGUCACUUAGAAAUGUCCUGAUUUUUGAGAGAAAAACAUUUUUUUUUUGUCAAUGAAGAUAACAUUAAAUUAAUCAUAAAUCCAGUGUAGACAUUGUUAAUGUGGUAAAUGACUAUUCUAGUUGGAAACAGCUGAUUUUUAAUGGAAUAUCUCCAUAGGGGUACAGAGGAACAUUUCCAGCAACCAUCACUCCUGUGUUCUAAUGCUACAUUGUGUUAGCUAAUGGUGUUGAAAGGCUAAUUGAUGAAUAGAAAACCCUUGUACAGUUAUGUUAGCACAUGAAUAAAAAUGUGAGUUUUCAUGGAAAACAUGAAAUUGUCUGGGUGACCCCAAACUUCUGAACAGUAAUGUAAAUUCUGUUUUAGCUUUAAAAACAGGUUUAUUGCUAUUUGACUUGAUUAUAGAAUCACUCCGACCAGGUUGGAGGAGUUGACAACGCGACUUCAACAAGCAAACAAAUUUGAAGCCAUUCAACUCUCUGACACUUAAAGCUUGUAAUUCAAAUGAAAAACAGAAGUGUGAGGUGCACCCAAUUUGUCCAGGAAAUGUACGUAUUUUAAACUUGUAACAUCUUGACUGUGCUGACAGCUACAGGACACACAUCAGCUUUGGCAACCUUGAGCUACUCUGGAUUCUGAAAUUCGUCUUGUUGACAUCUUUCAUUGUGUUCCCCUUGUGGCAGAAAAUCAAAAGAAUGAGAAAAAGAUUUUAUACAGAUCGGAACUACAUCUAUAUUGUCUUGGCAGCAGUUUUAAUGCAGGUAUUCUGAUCUUCAUUCAAGACAAAACAACAUCCAGAACUUAUUUUUGUGGACAUGAAGCCUGUAACCUGUUUACUAGUCAAUAAAGUAGAUGUUCAAGUUUUAUUGUUGACUUUCUCCUGAUAGAUUUUCUUCACUGGCCUCAUGCUGGGAGUUAUUUUAGAAAUGCAAUAAAUUGAUAAUCACAACGUUGACAGAGACAAACACUGCAUAGAGGGUAUUUAACUGUUUCUUUUGUUUAACAAUACUAUUAUUUUAUAUGUAACAGCUGAAAGCUAAACAGUAAUAUUUGCAGUGUGUCUAUUUCAAUAUGUAUCUGCUUUACUAUAUGUGCACGUGCAGUUUGUGUUCAGAUAACAGACAUCAGCAUACACUUUAAAAAGUGUGUUUAUGGGUGCCUAGAAAGCUCAACUGGUUGAGCGAGCAACGCUAUGCAGUGGCCUGGGUUCAAUUCCAGCUCAUGGUCCUUUACUGCAUGUCUUCCCCUCAUUCUUCUCCCUGCUUUCUUGACUGUGCCUAUCAAACAAAGCCAACAAAAGGCCAAAAAAAGAACCCUUAAAAAUAAAAGUUUGUAUUAUGUCACUGAUGACACCUCUGUGUGUUGUAUUUAUCGCCAUGGCAAUGAC
ensembl:lncRNA